CUCCUGGAAACGGGUGGUAAUGCCGGAUGUUCCACAUGAGCGCAUGCGAGUGUGGGAAAGGCUUUUUGCGGCAUGGGAUGGGGUCGCGUCCUAUCAGCUUGUUGGUGGGGUAACGGCCUACCAAGGCGUUGACGGGUAGCCGGCCUGAGAGGGCGACCGGCCACAUUGGUACUGAGAUACGGCCCAGACUCCUACGGGAGGCAGCAGUGGGGAAUAUUGCACAAUGGGCGCAAGCCUGAUGCAGCGACGCCGCGUGCGGGAUGGAGGCCUUCGGGUUGUAAACCGCUUUUGUUCAAGGGCAAGGCACGGUUUCGGCCGUGUUGAGUGGAUUGUUCGAAUAAGCACCGGCUAACUACGUGCCAGCAGCCGCGGUAAUACGUAGGGUGCAAGCGUUAUCCGGAUUUAUUGGGCGUAAAGGGCUCGUAGGCGGUUCGUCGCGUCCGGUGUGAAAGUCCAUCGCUUAACGGUGGAUCCGCGCCGGGUACGGGCGGGCUUGAGUGCGGUAGGGGAGACUGGAAUUCCCGGUGUAACGGUGGAAUGUGUAGAUAUCGGGAAGAACACC
rnacentral:rRNA from 1 species